UACGAAGGGUGCAAGCGUUAUCCGGAUUCACUGGGUUUAAAGGGUGCGUAGGUGGGCUGGUAAGUCAGUGGUGAAAUCUCCAGGCUUAACUUGGAAACUGCCAUUGAUACUAUCAGUCUUGAAUACCGUGGAGGUCAGCGGAAUAUGUCAUGUAGCGGUGAAAUGCUUAGAUAUGACAUAGAACACCAAUUGCGAAGGCAGCUGGCUACACGAAUAUUGACACUGAUGCACGAAAGCGUGGGGAUCAAACAGG
rnacentral:rRNA from 1 species